rnacentral:tRNA from 1 species
GGCGGGUUCGUCUAUCGGUUAGGACACGGCCCUCUCAAGGCUGAAAGACGGGUUCGAUUCCCGUACGCGCUACCA